GCUACUAAAGGAUAACAGCCAUCCUUUGGCUUUAGAAACCAAAAUUUCUUGGUGCAAAUCCAGGUAGUAUCU
rnacentral:tRNA from 1 species